UUCAGCUUUUUGAAGGCUUCAACUCCCUCAAUGAUUAGACUAGAGGGUAAGCAAAAACAGUCUUCCAGAAGCCCACAUUCCUCAUUUAAAAGCUUUGCAUUAAAUGGGAGGGAGUUUUGGAGAAAGCCCUUUUUUGGACUAUGGCUGAGUUACACAAAGCUCUAAGAAAAUGUAGUUCUCUAGUUUCCUACAGAGAACCUGGGUAUUCUAACUAUAGGCUUUCGUACAGAGACAGACAA